rnacentral:lncRNA from 1 species
CGGAACGCUGUUCGUCAAGUAAACAGGAAGCACAAACCUCCCAAUGUGCGCCAAGACCGUAAGCCUGGGUGAAAGGGCCCGUGUUCCCUUUCUGCUCCCAGGGAGGGAGGGGCCCAGGCCUGCCAUCUUCAGCACCUUCGGGAUGUUUCCAAACCAGGCUGUCAUCCUAGAGUCACUUAGCGAAGGCCGAAGGUGGGAACAGAACAAGGAGCAACCUACCACGGGGCCGGGUGCAAAGGAAGUCCUUGAGGAUGACAGCUGUGGUGAUGGACCCAUCCUAGACUUGUGGACCAACCGAGGCCUUGCGCGCGGUCACCCA